GCCUGGGUGGCGAAAUAGGUAGACGCAAGGGACUUAAAAUCCCUCGGGGGGUAACUCCCGUGCCGGUUCGAUUCCGGCCCCAGGCACCA
rnacentral:tRNA from 1 species